GUGCUCACUUCAGCAACACAUAUACUAAAGUUAGAACAAUACAGAGAAGAUUAUGGCCCCUGCACAAGAAUGACACACAUGUGUGAAUGUGAAGCAUUCCAUAUUUUA